rnacentral:rRNA from 1 species
GUGGGGAAUUUUACACAAUGGGGGAAACCCUGAUGUAGCGACACCGCGUGAGCGAAGAAGCCCUUUGGGGUGUAAAGCUCUGUCAGCAGGGACGAAAAAAAUGACGGUACCUGCAGAGGAAGCAUCGGCUAACUACGUGCCAGCAGCCGCGGUAAGACGUAGGAUGCGAGCGUUGUCCGGAUUUAUUGGGCGUAAAGAGUUCGUAGGUGGUUUUAUAAGUCUGGUGUAAAAGGCUGAGGCUCAACCUUGGUACAGCACUGGAUACUGUAAGACUAGAGUGCAGUAGAGGCAAGCGGAAUUCCCAGUGUAGCGGUGAAAUGCGUAGAUAUUGGGAAGAACACCGGUGGCGCAAGCGGCUUGCUGGGCUGUAACUGACACUGAGGAACGAAAGCUAGGGUAGCGAAUGGGAUUAGAUACCCUUGUAGUCC